rnacentral:rRNA from 1 species
GAUGAACGCUGGCGGCGUGCCUAAUACAUGCAAGUCGAGCGAACAGACGAGGAGCUUGCUCCUCUGACGUUAGCGGCGGACGGGUGAGUAACACGUGGAUAACCUACCUAUAAGACUGGGAUAACUUCGGGAAACCGGAGCUAAUACCGGAUAAUAUAUUGAACCGCAUGGUUCAAUAGUGAAAGACGGUUUUGCUGUCACUUAUAGAUGGAUCCGCGCCGCAUUAGCUAGUUGGUAAGGUAACGGCUUACCAAGGCAACGAUGCGUAGCCGACCUGAGAGAGUGAUCGGCCACACUGGAACUGAGACACGGUCCAGACUCCUACGGGAGGCAGCAGUAGGGAAUCUUCCGCAAUGGGCGAAAGCCUGACGGAGCAACGCCGCGUGAGUGAUGAAGGUCUUCGGACCGUAAAACUCUGUUAUUAGGGAAGAACAAAUGUGUAAGUAACUAUGCACGUCUUGACGGUACCUAAUCAGAAAGCCACGGCUAACUACGUG